CUUAUACUCCCUCCGUUUCGAAUUACUCAUCGCAUAAAUGGAUGUAUCUAGAUGUAUUUUAGUUCUAGAUACAUCCAUUUCUGCGACGAGUAAUUUGGAACGGAGGGAAUAUUAU
rfam:Triticum aestivum genome assembly, contig: Triticum_aestivum_CS42_TGACv1_scaffold_375236_5AL